rnacentral:rRNA from 1 species
UGGGGGAUAUUGCACAAUGGGCGAAAGCCUGAUGCAGCGACGCCGCGUGGGGGAUGAAGGCUUUCGGGUUGUAAACCUCUUUCGCUAUCGAACAAGGCCCGCUUAGGGUGGGUUGAGGGUAGGUGGAGAAGAAGCGCCGGCUAACUACGUGCCAGCAGCCGCGGUAAUACGUAGGGCGCGAGCGUUGUCCGGAAUUAUUGGGCGUAAAGGGCUUGUAGGCGGCUUGUUGCGCCUGCUGUGAAAACGCGGGGCUUAACUUCGCGCGUGCAGUGGGUACGGGCAGGCUUGAGUGUGGUAGGGGUGACUGGAAUUCCAGGUGUAGCGGUGAAAUGCGUAGAGAUCUGGAGGAAUACCGGUGGCGAAGGCGGCCCCCUGGACAAAGACUGACGCUCAGGUGCGAAAGCGUGGGGAGCAAACAGG